CGUGUGCAGGGGAUGGCUUAGUGUUUAGGGCCUGGGUCCUGUCACGUGAUAAAUCUGCGCUGUCUCGGUUCCCACAGACGCGCACAGCCUGCCCCUCCUGGGCGCCCGUGGAGGGGAGAGCAAGGCCCCGGGCUCGGGGGAGGCCUCUCGUGGUGGAGAAACUGGCUGCUGAGCUGGAGCCCGUGGCAGCCGUGCACCGUCCUGUCGCAGCCCUGGUACAGCCGGAGGCGAAGGUGCAGGAGCAGGACCCUGGAGGAGUCAAGGUAGGAGCUGAGGGGGCAGGAAAAGCCCUUCUCGUCUCCAAGCUGGGACUGGCGAGGCGCCCCCGAGAUGGCUGGUGCAACAGCAAGUGAAAUAGCGGCCUGCAACACAGCAAGGCGCUGCGGGAGGCUUGCGGCCGCUUGCGGGAGCUCGGCAAUGCAGCGAGGGGCAGAUGCUGGCGGUGCUGGAGCAGUUUGUGGCCAUCCUGCGCCAGGAGAUGCAGAGCUGAGAGCGGGGGGCGCAGCGUGGAGACCUGCGCUGGCGCCGCGACUCUGCCCGAAAGGUUUCAGCUGGGGCAGGCGGAGGAUGAGAAGCUCCAGGUUAAAGCAUUCAUUUCACCCUGACCAUCAAUGCUGUUGUGUCCACCUGUGUGUGUCUGGGGGGAUAUUUCCUCCCACCCCCAUCUCUCCCAGCUCCCCAGUGACCUAUUUAUCUUGUCUGCAGGUCACAGUGAAUGUGAAGGUCAAGGAGGUGUCCUCAGAUGAGAUGCAGCGCGCUAGGGUAUUACAGGAACCUGUUGAUUCCUGGCUGGAGCUGCUGAAGGCCCAUCUUACAGACAUGCCUCUGGAGGAGACGGGACCGAGGAAAGCUCCAGGGCCUCAGCACAAGUCACCUUGUGUCCCCAGAGAGGAGCCUCUGUCCAGCCAGGAGGCAGGCAAGGAGGAGCAGGGACCCUGAGUAAGUCUGAUCAGCAGCCUCCUAAGGAAGGGCCUGUAAACCUGGAGAUGCAGAGGACUUCCUCAGAGAGACUGGGGAAUAGGGGUCCCCUGACACCUGAACCAGACCAAGUGCAGAAGAAGCAGCGAAGGCCUUCAAAGCACAAGGAGAGCAUGGAGCACCAGGAGGUCUUUGAGCACAUGGCUUUGUAUUUCAUGCGGAAGGAAUGGGAGCUGCUGGAAGAUGCAGACAAGGUGCUUUACCGGAACCAGAUGCUGAAGAAUUACCAAGCCCUUGUUAACCUGGGAUAUCGAGGUCCCACACCUGACUUAAUAUAUCGCAUCCAGCAAGGAUGGGUAGAGCUCUGAGUCGGUGAUGAGGAAGACUGUGGGGAAAUCUCAAGGUUGGAGAACCUGCUGUCAGGAGGUGCUUGGCUGCUGAGCAGAGCUGAGGAGCAGCCUCCUGAGGAAGGGCCCUCAAACCUGGAGCCACCAUGCAUUUCCCUAGGGAGUUUGGGUGAGAUGGACUCCCUGAGAUCUGAGAAGGAGCCAUGGCAUAAGAGUCAUGGGAGGCCCCAAAAGCAGAAGAACAUAGCAGUGAACGAGCACCAGCUCAUUCACUUUGAGAGGAAGGCAUACUGCUGCAGCAAGUGCAGGAAGAACUUAAUCUGCUGGCAAGAUCUUUUCCCAGCAUCAGUGUGUGCAGAAGGGGGAGCAGCUACACCAGUGUGCCAAGUGUGGGAAGAGCUUCAGGCAGCCCUCCAGCCUGUCCAGGCACAGGUGUGUGCACAUCAGGGAGAAGCCACAUCCAUGUUCUGAGUGUGGUAAGAGCUUCACUCGGUCCUCAGUGUUGGCCAAACACAAGCUCAUCCACACAGGGAAGAAGCCACAUCAGUGCUCUGAUUGUGGGAAGAGCUUUUCUGGCUCUUCCCACUUGACCUGGCACCAGCAUAUCCACACAGGAGAGAAGCCACAUAAAUGCCCUGUGUGUGGGAAGAGCUUCACUCAGUCCUGCCACCUGACAUGGCACCAGCUUAUCCACGUGGGUGCUCUGUGUGUGGGAAGAGGUUCAGGCAGCCCUCCAGCUUGGCUAAGCACAGUUGCAUCCACACAGGGGAGAAGCCACAUCAGUGUCCUGAGUGUGGCAAGAGCUUCAGCUGCUCCUCCACCCUGGCCCGGCAUCAUUAUCUCCAUACAAGGAAGAAUGCACAUCGGUGCCUUAAAUGUGGAAAAAGCUUCACUUGCCCUUCCCACCUGGCCCAGCACCAGCUUAUACACACAGGGGAAAAACCACAUUGGUGCCCUGAGUGUGGGAAGUGCUUCAGUCAGUCCUACAACCUAUCCAAUCACCAGCGCAUACACACAAGGAAAAAGCCACAUCCGUGCUCAGAGUGUGGGAAGAGCUUCUUCCUGUUUUCACACCUGGCCCUGCAUCAGCGCAACCACACAGGGGAAAAGCCACAUUGGUGCCCUGACCGUAGGAAGUUCUUCAGCCUGCCCUCCCACCUGGCCCAGCACCAGCACAUCCACACAGGAGAAAGGCCAUAUCAGUGUUGUGUGUAGAAACAGCUUCACCCAUUCCUUGCACCAGCUCAUACAUAUGGGGGACAAGCCAUAUCGGUGCUCCAAAUAUGGCAAGAGCUUUAACCACUCCUGCAGCCUGUCCCAGCACCAGCUUAUGCACACAGGGGAGAAGCCACAUCAGUGCUCUGUAUGUGGGAAGAGCCUCACCCCGGUUGCCCACCUGGCCCGGCACCGGCAUGUCCACACGUGGGAGCAUACAUUCUGCCAGCAGUGCAGGACGGGCUUGUCGAUAUCUACCUGCUCAGCACCCGCUAGUGGCUGCAUUCAGGCAAGCAGCCUUAUGCUGAUGGGCUGCAGGAAGAAUUCACCCAGCCUUUGGCCCUUGUAGGGCACUGCAGAACCCACAGGAGCCAGAAACUGGCCCCCAAAGUUUAAUUUGAGGAGGAGGGGCCAAGAGGAAACAGCUCAGACCGAGGCCAGCCCAGAUGGUGGGGUAACUUGAGGAGACUCUUUGUAUCAGCCUUGGAGCCUGUGCCUUCCCUGUCGUUCUCCUAAAAACAGUCAGUGCUCCCAAGGAUAGAAGUGCUUUCACAAUAGCAUGCCCUUUCCAGAACAACUAGCUUUAAAUGACACCCAGGGACUGUUUUUUUGCUGCCUCCCAGCUUCGUCUGGCACAUGCUGUUGGGGCACUCCGCCUGGGUGCUGGCCUCUCUGGUGACGGGCAGGCUGGCCUGGGUCCCCAUGUCCAUCCUCUGGGAGGGGAAUCUGCUCUUGAUUGCACAAGAAGUAACUGGUUAGAGAUGGAUCAUGGACAGAAUAGGAUGUAGUUUAAUAAAGUCAAGUGCUAAGUGCUGCACCUA